GACGAACGCUGGCGGCGUGCUUAACACAUGCAAGUCGAACGGAAAGGACCUGCUUGCGCGGUACUCUAGUGACGAACGGGUGAGUAACACGUGGGUGAUCUGCCUUGCUCUUCGGGAUAAACCUGGGAAACUGGCUACUGUACCGGAUAGGACCAUGCUUUAAUGUGUGUGGUGGAAAGUUUUUCUGCGCUUGAUGAGCCCGCGGACUAUCCCCUUGUUGGUGGGGUAAUGGCCUACCAAAGCGACCACCGGUAGCCUGACUGAUAGGCUAUACGGCCACGUUGUCACUGACACUCGGACCAAACUCCUACCGGAGGUCCCACUGGAGAAUAUUGCACAGUGUCCUCAAGCCUGAUGCAACGACUCCCCGAGCGGCAUCAAGGCUUUCAGGAUGGAUUCUCCAUUCGCUAAGUAAGAAGCCUUUUGAUAACGGUACCUAGAUUAGAAACAUCAUCUAACUACGUGCCCUCCCCCGAAGUGAUACGUUAGGUGCGAGCCUUCUCCGGAAUUACUGGGCAGUAUACAGAUCGUAGUGGUUUGUCGCGUCGUCUGUGAAUUCCGGGGCUUAACUUCGGGCGUGCAGGCGAUACGGGCAUAACUAGAGUGCUGCAUGGGAGACUGGAAUUCCUGGUGUAGCGAUGAAAUGCGCAGAUAUCAGGAGGAACACCGAUGGCGAAGGCAGGUCUCUGGGCAGUUACUGACGCUGAUGAGCGAAAGCAUGGGUAGCGAACAGGAUUAGAUACCCUGGUAGUCCAUGCCGUAAACGGAUGGGCGCUAGGUGUGGGGGUUUUAUUUACGAUUCCCGUGCCGUAGCUAACGCAUUAAGCGCCCCGCCUGGGGAGUACGGCCGCAAGGCUAAAACUCAAAGGAAUUGACGGGGGCCCGCACAAGCGGCGGAGCAUGUGGAUUAAUUCGAUGCAACGCGAAGAACCUUACCUGGGCUUGACAUACACCGGAUCGCUGCAGAGAUGUAGUUUCCCUUGUGGCUGGUGUACAGCGUGGUGCAUGGUGGUCGUCAGCUCCUGUCGUGAGAUGUUGGGUUAAGUCCCGCAACGAGCGCAACCCUUGUCUUGUGUUGCCAGCACGUUAUGGUGGGGACUCGCGAGAGACUGCCGGGGUUAACUCGGAGGAAGGUGGGGAAGACGUCAAAUCAUCAUGCCCCUUAUGUCCAGGGCUUCACACAUGCUACAAUGGUCGGUACAGUGGGUUGCGAUGCCGUGAGGUGGAGCUAAUCCCUUAAAGCCAGCCUCAGUUUGGAUUGGAGUCUGCAACUUGACUCCAUGAAGUUGGAGUCGCUAGUAAUCGCAGAUCAGCAAUGCUGCGGUGAAUACGUUCCCGGGCCU
rnacentral:rRNA from 1 species